AGUGAGGAUUAAGGAACUCCGUGAGACUCGGAGGCUGUGCCGCAACGGUUAAAGCCCGGAACUUAACCUCACU
rnacentral:ncRNA from 2 species